CCUGGUUGAUCUUGCCAGUAGUCAUAUGCUUGUCUCACAGAUUAAGCCAUGCAAGUGAAAGUACAUAUGUAAAUAAUAUAUUGAAACUGCGAACGGCUCAUUAAAACAGUUAUAAUCUACUUGAUGUUUUUAAUAUAAGGAUAACUACGGAAAAUCUGUAGCUAAUACUUGUGAAAAUACCUUUUGAUAUAUACAUAUGUAUGUAUCAUUAAGGUAUGUAUUUGUUAGAUAUAAGAAUAAAAUAAAUAUAAUUGAAUUAUAACAAAGAAGAAACACAUAAAAUAUGUGUAUUAUCAAUCGAGUAUCUGACCUAUCAGCUUUUGAUGUUAGGGUAUUGACCUAACAUGGCUAUGACGGGUAACGGGGAAUUAGAGUUCGAUUCCGGAGAGGGAGCCUGAGAAAUAGCUACCACAUCUAAGGAAGGCAGCAGGCGCGUAAAUUACCCAAUUCUAAAAAAGAGAGGUAGUGACAAGAAAUAACAAUACAAUAUCGAAAAAUGAUUUUGUAAUUGGAAUGAUAGGAAUUUACAAGGUUCCUAGAGAAACAAUUGGAGGGCAAGUCUGGUGCCAGCAGCCGCGGUAAUUCCAGCUCCAAUAGCAUAUAUUAAAAUUGUUGCAGUUAAAACGUUCGUAGUUGAAUAUUAAAGAAUCCGAUGUUUCAUUUAAACUGGUUUGGGAAAACCAAAUAUAUUAUAUAUUUUGCUUUGUUCAAAAUAAGGUUUUCUAAUAAAUUAUGUUUUUAUCAGAUAUGACAGAAUCUUUUUUAAAAUCUCUUCAAUAUGCUUUUAUUGCUUUUGAGAGGUUUUGUUACUUUGAGUAAAAUUAAGUGUUCAUAACAGACGGGUAGUCAUGAUUGAGUUCAUUGUGUUUGAAUACUACAGCAUGGAAUAACAAAUAUGAAUAAGCUAAUUAUUUUUUUUUUUCAUAAUUUUUUUUGAUAUUCUUAUUAGCUUAGUUACGAUUAAUAGGAGUAGCUUUGGGGGCAUUCGUAUUCAGAUGUCAGAGGUGAAAUUCUAAGAUUUUCUGGAGACGGACUACUGCGAAAGCAUUUGCCUAAUCUAUUUCCAUUAAUCAAGAACGAAAGUUAAGGGAGUGAAGACGAUCAGAUACCGUCGUAAUCUUAACCAUAAACUAUACCGACUAGGUGUUGGAUGAAUAUAAAAAAUAUAUAAAUAUGUAGCAUUUCUUAGGGAAUGUUGAUUUUAUAUUAGAAUUGCUUCCUUCAGUACCUUAUGAGAAAUCAAAGUCUUUGGGUUCUGGGGCGAGUAUUCGCGCAAGCGAGAAAGUUAAAAGAAUUG
rnacentral:rRNA from 1 species